rnacentral:rRNA from 1 species
AAAGGGUGCGUAGGCGGCCUGUUAAGUCAGGGGUGAAAGACGGUAGCUCAACUAUCGCAGUGCCCUUGAUACUGAUGGGCUUGAAUGGACUAGAGGUAGGCGGAAUGAGACAAGUAGCGGUGAAAUGCAUAGAUAUGUCUCAGAACACCGAUUGCGAAGGCAGCUUACUAUGGUCUUAUUGACGCUGAGGCACGAAAGCGUGGGGAUCAAACAGGAUUAGAUACCCUGGU